UAACACGGGUGAGGGACAGGGACCAACGAGGAGGCUCUACAACAUGAGGAAAGACGGCGAUCCUCAAGCAGUCAGUCCAUGAGCCCACGUCUUCAGGCCAGGGGCCCGAGAGGAAUUUCCAGCGACAUGGAUCAACAGAGAUCCUCAAACAGUCAGUCCAUGUGCCACGUUCCAGCCAGGGACCAAAAGGGGUGCUUUCGUCAUGGGGCCAGACAGACAUCCUCAAGCAGUAAGUUGAUUUACAUGGAUGCAUUCUGAAGUUGAAUUGAAGUAGUUAUAUUGUUGUACGCUGGCUACUAUUCAAUGUGUCAAAGUGAAAUUUAUUAAUUGUUGUCCCAUGAAAAAAUGAACUGUAUUUAAAAAUCUCAAUGUAUCGUUCCAGGGAUAAGAGUUCAAGAAUGUUGUUGCAGGUGAAAUGAUCAUUGAAAUUUGCUGAUUCAAUGCCAUUUUUGUAUCUUUACUUUUUGGAGAAAUAGAGAGAUGCAUCCAGGCCACCCACUAGGAGGUGGAAAAUCGUACGAAGAGGUGGCUGUACCUGGCAGCAGACUGAGAUGGGGUGAGGAAGAGAAGCACAGACCAAGAACGGAAUGUCAGACAUUUGCCCUUUUUUAUGCCCAGCACACACAGACACACACACACACACACACACCAGCAUAUAAACAUGCACAUAGACACAGGCGCACGUGCACACACAUACACGCACUCUCCAACAAGAUGAGUCUCUGGUGAUGUUGGCAAAUAAUCUGAAUCGAUACACACGGCAAUGAUUCCACCAUCGUGCCCCACCUACGCGAGUCCUGUCCUUCAGCAUUGACUUUCUCCCCAGGUGUGGUGUGCCUUCAUCCGAACCACAAUGGCAUCCCAAGCAGCAACAAAUACCUGCACGCAUGCAUGCUACGGUACACACACAAACACACUGGACUGUGAACUAGGUCAGACACACACACAUGCUCAAAGUAGCUAAGAUCGAAAAGGCUGCAUCGGUGGCUUGACUGGAACACCUUUGUCAAUUUUGAGGAACUUUGUUGUGGGAAGAUAUUUUAAAAUGUUGAUAGUCAGACUCUUGUAUACCCAUUCGCUUCACUUUGAUGUAUUUUGUAAUUGAGAUGAUUUAUGCCACAGUGCUGAAUUAACACAUCAUGACAAAGAUGUCACCUUAAAAAGUAUGUUUGGUACCUGUGGGUCAAAUGUCUCAGGAGCUCCCUGACUGCAGAACGUCUCAGGAAAGGACUCAACUUUUUAUAUUGUAUGCAGGGUGCGAUUUGUCAGAAAACCAGAAAGGGGGAUGUGUUUCAGAUGUCAACAAUAUCAAUGGAGUUACAUUAAACUAUGAUUAAAAUCAUGUGGAAAAGGUGACCAUAUCAAAACCAGAAGAGGGGACAAUCCCCCUACAAACCGCACCCUGAUUGUAUGUAUUUUACAUGUUUGUCUAUAUGAUUAACACAUGUUCACAGAAGAAAAUACAAUGUACGACUGCAAGGUCUUGUGCGUUUUUCUCACCGAUAUCUUAAAGGUUUAUGCGUUACAAAAUGUUUAUUAUUUUGUUUAUUUUCUGAACGUUUUUUUUUAAUUACUCAAAGGGAUAUGUCAAGAAACGUGUUUAUCAUUUGUUUUUGU